UCCCUGGUGGUCUAGUGGUCAGAAUUCGGUGCUUUUAUGACUGUGGCCCAGGUUCAAUCCCUGGUCUGGGAC
rnacentral:tRNA from 1 species